rnacentral:rRNA from 1 species
UACGAAGGGGGCUAGCGUUGCUCGGAAUCACUGGGCGUAAAGGGUGCGUAGGCGGGUCUUUAAGUCAGGGGUGAAAGCCCGGAGCUCAACUCCGGAACUGCCUUUAAGACUGCAUCGCUAGAAUUGUGGAGAGGUGAGUGGAAUUCCGAGUGUAGAGGUGAAAUUCGUAGAUAUUCGGAAGAACACCAGUGGCGAAGGCGACUCACUGGACACAUAUUGACGCUGAGGUGCGAAAGCGUAGGGAGCAAACAGG